GACGAACGCUGGCGGCGUGCCUAAUACAUGCAAGUUGAGCGCUGAAGGUUGGUACUUGUACCGACUGGAUGAGCAGCGAACGGGUGAGUAACGCGUGGGGAAUCUGCCUUUGAGCGGGGGACAACAUUUGGAAACGAAUGCUAAUACCGCAUAAAAACUUUAAACACAAGUUUUAAGUUUGAAAGAUGCAAUUGCAUCACUCAAAGAUGAUCCCGCGUUGUAUUAGCUAGUUGGUGAGGUAAAGGCUCACCAAGGCGAUGAUACAUAGCCGACCUGAGAGGGUGAUCGGCCACAUUGGGACUGAGACACGGCCCAAACUCCUACGGGAGGCAGCAGUAGGGAAUCUUCGGCAAUGGACGAAAGUCUGACCGAGCAACGCCGCGUGAGUGAAGAAGGGUUUCGGAUCGGAAAACUCUGUUGGUAGAGAAGAACGUUGGUGAGAGUGGAAAGCUCAUCAAGUGACGGUAACUACCCAGAAAGGGACGGCUAACUACGUG
rnacentral:rRNA from 1 species